UACGAGGGGUGCGAGCGUUGUUCGGAAUUAUUGGGCGUAAAGGGUGCGUAGGUGGCAAUGUAAGUUGGAUGUGAAAUCCUGGGGCUUAACCUCAGAAUUGCAUUCAAUACUGCUUAGCUAGAGAGCUGUAGAGGAGACUGGAAUUUACGGUGUAGCAGUGAAAUGCGUAGAUAUCGUAAGGAACGCCAGUGGCGAAAGCGAGUCGCUGGGCAGCAUCUGACACUGAGGCACGAAGGCCAGGGGAGCAAACGGG
rnacentral:rRNA from 1 species